GUUUCCAUCCUUUAGGAAGACCCUGGAACGUGCCAGUUGAUUCUGACAAUUUCUCAUGAACAGAAACACCUAGGAAGGGAGAACUGGAUUUAUUUAAUGGGGAUGUGUUCAAGGCAAGACCGAAUUCAGAAGGAUAUCGACGUCGUGAUCCAGAAGUCCAGAGCUGAGGACUGCCUGUUUGCAGGGCCCGCCUGGCAGGACGACUGAGCAAGUUCUUGGAAAACCAGAGAUAUUAGAGCGGUGAAUCGCGCUGGUCACGUUGGACACCUGCGCGUUAGGAGAUUCUGGAGCCAGAGGGAGAGACCCCAGAAACGCCCCGGUCGGCGACCCAGCCCGAGACGCCUGGGGUCCCAAGGGAAGCUGAACGCCCGGUGGGCUCCCGGGAUGGUUCUUCCGGUUCUUUGUGCCGCCUUCACCCAGUGAAGGAGCCUGUAUCCACCCUGCCCAGUCGCUGUUGGGCUGCUGCGGAGCUUCCGCUGCCAUCUUCGGAUCCUGUGUUCCGCCCGGGGCUCCACCAGGGCAGGGAUGGUGGUGAGGGUCGCUCGUGGGUCCCCUGGCAGGGAGCAGGGUCUGGCACUCACAAGGGCGCACGACUAGGACUUGUCGAAUGAAUCCCUUGUCGCCUUUAGCUUUUAGUCCUUUGAAGAGAGCAGAAUGGGGAAAUGGAGAGAGAACCUGAAAGAGCCCCAAACUCGAGGACCUAUUGCUCCCCAAGAAUAACAUCUUCCAGAACUAGACAGAAAACUAGGCGUCUGGGAACCCUGAAAUCCUUGGAGGAGUAGAUCAUCAUGACCCUCUGUGUUCCUUUUGGCAAAUGACUUGCUUCCAUUGUUUGUUUGUUCAAUUGUCUGUUUGUUAAAUAAAUAAAACCC
rnacentral:lncRNA from 1 species